rnacentral:sRNA from 1 species
GCUGGGUGCAGUGGUGCAUACCUGUAAUCCCAGUGGCUUGGGAGGCUGGGGCAGGAGGAUGGCUAGUUCUAGGUCAGCCUCAGCACCUAAGCAAGACCCUGUCUCUA